GAUGAACGCUGGCGGCGUGCCUAAUACAUGCCAGUCGAGCGAACAGACGAUGAGCUUGCUCCUCUGACGUUAGCGGGGGACGGGUGAGUAACACGUGGAUCACCUACCUCUAAGACUGGGAUAACUUCGGGAAACCAGAGCUAAUACCGGAUAAUAUAUUCAACCGCAUGGUUCAAUAGUGAAAGACGGUUUUCCUGUCACUUAUAGAUGGAUUCGCGCUGCAUUAGCUAGUUGGUAAGGUAACGGCUUACCAAGGCGACGAUGCGUAGCCGACCUGAGAGGGUGAUCGGCCACACUGGAACUGAGACACGGUCCAGACUCCUACGGGAGGCAGCAGUAGGGAAUCUGGCGCAAUGGGCGAAAGCCUGACCAGGCAACGCCGCGGGAGUGAGGAAGGGCUCCGGAUCGUAAAACUUUUUUAUUGGGAAAAAAAAAAUGUGUAAGUAACCAUGCUGGUCUGAACGGAACCUAAGCAGAAGGCCAGGGCAAAUUAGGG
rnacentral:rRNA from 1 species